GUGCUAGUUGAAAUUAUAUGCCUGCUUCAGAUAUAAUAUUUAUAUUUAACCAGUGACUUCUAAAUUAAGAGGACGAGAACCAUUUAUAUCCCGAAUCACGGCAACUGAUUACAAUCAUACAAAAUGUUUCUUUUUAUCUGGAGCUAAAUAUCUGCUAUUGAUACAGUUCAUUACUUUUAAGAACAAUUUAAAGAAAAUAAUUAAUUAAGGCUGUAAAAUGUGUGGAUUCAAAGACGUGCGAUUAGACGUCUGUACAUGGAGUCAUGAGCUAAUAAUAGUUUCUGAUAUUUAAAACAACAGGGCUACGUUUAUACUAUACUUUGUUUUUAUAGUUUAGCUAAGUUUCAGAGGCCUCCAUUAAAUAACAGUCAAGAUAUACACGCAAAUAUAAUUUGCUUGUCUAUAUUUAAAAUUUGUAAUUGUUUCGUGAAGAUUCAACCAUAAAACAAUUGCCGGAAAUGCAAGCCCUGAUUAUAAAAACUCAGGGAAAACCCCAACCUCGUUCCCAGGUAUGAAAUGCGUGGCGUAAACAUGUCAAUCAAAUAUCAUUCUAUAAAUAUGACGUUUUAUAUUUGCACAGUACAUCGUGUACGUUUUUGUUGUAGAACUUGUGUUGUUCAAAUCGAAUAUGAAGUAAAAUCAGGAGCAUAUUGUCACAGGCUAAUUUUGUAUUUUAAUACCCUCUGGAAAUACCAAGGCUUUGGUACCCCUAUCUAUCACAAAAUGUAACAAAUCCAAAACAAAGUAUGAGGACUAAUAUUUUUCCUAUCAUUUGACAGAUUAAAAGUAUUAUUCAAGAAAUAUGUCCAUUUUAAUCAUAACGUGAUACAAAAAUACUAAAUAACAUGCAAAAUUCAGUGCCAAAGAGGGAUUUAUUUGGCGGUAGUUAAAUUAAAUAUGUAAACAUAAUAUGUUCUCAAACUGGCACAGUUUAAUACCAAUUGGCAAUUAAAGCUCGCAAUGCUAUAUAUUUGGUUUGAUACGAAGAUAAAAUAGUAAAUACUCAUAAUAAUUACAAUAUGUCCAUGACCUAAUUACUCAAAAAUUUAGAUUAUUAAAUCACAUAAUGGAACAACUUGCAAUUUGCUACGCUCACUCGUUAGCAAUAUUCUCUUCAACACUCGAAAUAAAUUACAUAUUUCCGCACAACCAUGUAUAAAUAUUCUCUAUACAUUCCAGUUUACCUUUAAUUUGUCAAGUGGUAGGCAAGAUAUUAGUCCUUUUGAUUUGUUAUUCUCUUGACCCAUCACGGAAGUGAUAGGAACUUGAAAAAAUGACAGUUGCAUACUUGCGUGUAAUUUGCUCGGAACAAUUUGCAAUCAACAUUGCAAGAUUGAUUGCAAUGUUGCAAUACUCAUGGGAACAAACAUCCGGUUUGACUGUAGUUUUGACUAUAGAUCAGUGCAAGACUGCUAUAGAAGAAGAUUUUAUCAAAAUAAAGUCAGGAUAAAGUCUAUUAAUACCACGAUUAAUACUAAUACUUCUCUUGAAAGCUUUUCGAAAGACGCCAUCUUGUUUUAAAGCUGUUCUAGCCUGCGAACAGGUCUUCAAAACAAGGCUG